AUGAACGCUGGCGGCGUGCCUAAUACAUGCGAGUCGCGCGAACAGACGAGGAGCUUGCUCCUCUGACGUUAGCGGCGGACGGGUGAGUAACACGUGGAUAACCUACCUAUAAGACUGGGAUAACUUCGGGAAACCGGAGCUAAUACCGGAUAAUAUAUUGAACCGCAUGGUUCAAUAGUGAAAGACGGUUUUGCUGUCACUUAUAGAUGGAUCCGCGCCCAUUAGCUAGUUGGUAAGGUAACGGCUUACCAAGGCAACGAUGCGUAGCCGACCUGAGAGGGUGAUCGGCCACACUGGAACUGAGACACGGUCCAGACUCCUACGGGAGGCAGCAGUAGGGAAUCUUCCGCAAUGGGCGAAAGCCUGACGGAGCAACGCCGCGUGAGUGAUGAAGGUCUUCGGAUCGUAAAACUCUGUUAUUAGGGAAGAACAAAUGUGUAAGUAACUAUGCACGUCUUGACGGUACCUAAUCAGAAAGCCACGGCUAACUACGUG
rnacentral:rRNA from 1 species